CAGGUUUAUACUGCAAAUCAUCACUGAGGACCACAACUACAGCUUUAUACUGUAAAUCACAUCACUGAGGACCACAACUACAGCUUUAUACUGUAAAUCAUCACUGAGGACCACAACUACAGCUUUAUACUGUAAAUCAUGAGAUCACUGAGGACCACAACUACAGCUUUAUACUGUAAAUCACAUCACUGAGGACCACAACUACAGCUUUGAGAUGGCCAAGUGGUCAGUGUGGGGUACAUACAUCUGGAGUGAAGAGGUAGAUGAGGCCCUCGGUGGCUCCAGGGAGAGUCAGAGCUUGCACCAGGAAGAUGGUCAACACCAGGUCUUCCCUCACAGGGCAUUCGCUCCAUGGCAGAGGGUCCUCAAAAGCGUGAAAGAAGUACCACAGCACCCAGGCCAAUAUGACACAGUAGUACAUUCCAAUCAGGAACGAAAUCAGCAUGGAGGCCACACCUGUGCAGUGCACACAGUUUGUUAGCAUUAACCCGUUAACACACCAGA